rnacentral:rRNA from 1 species
ACAGAGGUGGCAAGCGUUGUUCGGAAUUACUGGGCGUAAAGGGCGCGUAGGCGGCCUUCUCAGUCAGACGUGAAAUCCCCAGGCUUAACUUGGGAACUGCGUCUGAUACUGGAGAGCUGGAGUGCGGUAGAGGGUAGUGGAAUUCCCGGUGUAGCAGUGAAAUGCGUAGAGAUCGGGAGGAACACCAGUGGCGAAGGCGGCUACCUGGACCAGCACUGACACUGAGGCACGAAAGCGUGGGGAGCAAACAGGA